rnacentral:tRNA from 1 species
UAAAGUGGCUGAAUAUUAGGCGAUAGAUUGUAAAUCUUUUUAUGAAAAAAAAAUUCCUUUAUCA